GUAGGUGGCAAGCGUUGUCCGGAAUUAUUGGGCGUAAAGCGCGCGCAGGCGGUUCUUUAAGUCUGAUGAGAAAGCCCACGGCUCAACCGUGGAGGGUCAUUGGAAACUGGAGAACUUGAGUACAGAAGAGGAAAGCGGAAUUCCACGUGUAGCGGUGAAAUGCGUAGAGAUGUGGAGGAACACCAGUGGCGAAGGCGGCUUUCUGGUCUGUAACUGACGCUGAGGCGCGAAAGCGUGGGGAGCAAACAGGAUUAGAUACCCUGGUAGUCCACGCCGUAAACGAUGAGUGCUAAGUGUUAGGGGGUUUCCGCCCCCCUUAGUGCUGCAGCUAACGCAUUAAGCACUCCGCCUGGGAGUACGGCCGCAAGGCUG
rnacentral:rRNA from 1 species